AAAGCAUGGGUAGCGAACAGGAUUAGAUACCCUGGUAGUCCUAUGUCCAUGACGGUAGAGCGCUGGGCGCUAGGUGUGGGGUCCUUCCACGGACUCCGUGCCGUAGCUAACGCAUUAAGCGCCCCGCCUGGGGAGUACGGCCGCAAGGCUAAAACUCAAAGGAAUUGACGGGGGCCCGCACAAGCGGCGGAGCAUGUGGAUUAAUUCGAUGCAACGCGAAGAACCUUGCCUAGGCUUGACAUAUACAGGACGACGGCAGAGAUGUCGUUUCCCUUGUGGCUUGUAUACAGGUGGUGCAUGGUUGUCGUCAGCUCGUGUCGUGAGA
rnacentral:rRNA from 1 species